rnacentral:rRNA from 1 species
AGAGUUUGAUCAUGGCUCAGAUUGAACGCUGGCGGCAUGCCUUACACAUGCAAGUCGAACGGUAACGCGGGGCAACCUGGCGACGAGUGGCGAACGGGUGAGUAAUAUAUCGGAACGUGCCCAACUGUGGGGGAUAACGUAGAGAAAUUUACGCUAAUACCGCAUACGAUCUAAGGAUGAAAGCGGGGGAUCGCAAGACCUCGCGCAGUUGGAGCGGCUGAUAUCAGAUUAGCUUGUUGGUGAGGUAAAAGCUCACCAAGGCGACGAUCUGUAGCUGGUUUGAGAGAACGACCAGCCACACUGGGACUGAGACACGGCCCAGACUCCUACGGGAGGCAGCAGUGGGGAAUUUUGGACAAUGGGCGAAAGCCUGAUCCAGCAAUGCCGCGUGCAGGAAGAAGGCCUUCGGGUUGUAAACUGCUUUUGUACGGAACGAAACGGUCUGCCCUAAUACGGCGGGCUAAUGACGGUACCGUAAGAAUAAGCACCGGCUAACUACGUGCCAGCAGCCGCGGUAAUACGUAGGGUGCGAGCGUUAAUCGGAAUUACUGGGCGUAAAGCGUGCGCAGGCGGUUAUGUAAGACAGUUGUGAAAUCCCCGGGCUCAACCUGGGAAUUGCAUCUGUGACUGCAUAGCUAGAGUACGGUAGA